rnacentral:sRNA from 1 species
AAAAGAAAAAGUAAAACAACGUGAAAGAGACAAACAUAGAUCUUGGAAUUGGAUAGUAGAAGACAAACUUAGA